GCGUGCUAAGCGGGGAGCCAGCGGUGCCCUGUACCCGCAAUCCGCUACAGCGGGGCUGAAUUCCCGUACGAGAAUGCUGAUGUUCCUGUAGUGACUGAUAAGUGGUGUUGAGAGCCAAGCCCUGCGCAAUUAUGGACUGCGAACCAUGUCAGGCCCGGAAGGGAGCAGCAUUAAGCAGAACCCGUGAUGUGCCGCAGGUCAACUUGACUUGAGCUAACUGUCUGUUACUGCAACGAAAUAAGUAUCGACUAUGGGUGCACGC
rnacentral:SRP_RNA from 1 species